rnacentral:rRNA from 1 species
AUUGAACGCUGGCGGCAGGCCUAACACACGCAAGUCGAGCGGAUGAAGGGAGCUUGCUCCUGGAUUCAGCGGCGGACGGGUGAGUAAUGCCUAGGAAUCUGCCUGGUAGUGGGGGAUAACGUCCGGAAACGGGCGCUAAUACCGCAUACGUCCUGAGGGAGAAAGUGGGGGAUCUUCGGACCUCACGCUAUCAGAUGAGCCUAGGUCGGAUUAGCUAGUUGGUGGGGUAAAGGCCUACCAAGGCGACGAUCCGUAACUGGUCUGAGAGGAUGAUCAGUCACACUGGAACUGAGACACGGUCCAGACUCCUACGGGAGGCAGCAGUGGGGAAUAUUGGACAAUGGGCGAAAGCCUGAUCCAGCCAUGCCGCGUGUGUGAAGAAGGUCUUCGGAUUGUAAAGCACUUUAAGUUGGGAGGAAGGGCAGUAAGUUAAUACCUUGCUGUUUUGGCGUUACCAACAGAAUAAGCACCGGCUAACUUCGUG